GAAAUGCGAUAAGUAAUGCGAAUCGCAGAUUCCAGUGAGUCAUCGAAUUUUUGAACGCACAUUGCGCCUGGCGGUAACCCGCCAGGCAUGCCUAUUCGAGCGUCAUCUCAACCCUCGAGCCCCGCUCGGCGUUGGGGAUCCUGCCGCCCACGCGGCCGGGCCCCGAAAAUCAUCAGCGACGGCGCGAGUCCCCCCUGCGAGAUACUGUCCGCACCGGGCCCACGCGCUCACGUCUACUGUGAGCCUUUCUGUACGGUUGACCUCGGAUUAGGUAGGGAUACCCGCUGAACUUAA
rnacentral:misc_RNA from 1 species